rnacentral:rRNA from 1 species
CGACACCGCGUGAAGGAUGAAGGCCCUCGGGUUGUAAACUUCUUUCAGUGGGGAAGAAGCGAAAGUGACGGUACCCACAGAAGAAGCCMCGGCCAACUACGUGCCAGCAGCCGCGGUAAUACGUAGGGGGCAAGCGUUGUCCGGAUUCAUUGGGCGUAAAGAGCUCGUAGGCGGCUUGGCAAGUCKGUCGUGAAAUACCGAGGCUCAACCUCGGAACGCCGAUCGAAACUGCCAUGGCUAGGGUCCGGUAGAGGRGAGUGGAAUUCCCGGUGUAGCGGUGAAAUGCGCAGAUAUCGGGAGGAACACCAGUAGCGAAGGCGGCUACCUGGACGGGUACUGACGCUGAGGCGCGAAAGCGUGGGGAGCAAACAGRYGUUAGAUACCCUGGUAGUCCACGCCGUAAACGAUGAGAWGUAGAUGUCGYGAGGAUCCGCCUUUCGGUGUCGCAGCUAACGCGUUAAGUUCYRCCGCCUGGGGAGUACGCCGGCAACGGUAAAACUCAAAGGAAUUGACGGGGACCCGCACAAGCGGUGGAGCAUGUGGUUUAAUUCGAUGCAACGCGAAGAACYKUACCUGCCCUUGACAUCCUCGMGACUKGUCAGAGMUGASUUGGUGCCUUCGGGAACCGAGUGACAGGUGCUGCAUGGCUGUCGUCAGCUCGUGUCGUGAGAUGUUGGGUUAAGUCCCGCAACGAGCGCAACCCUUGUCCCUAGUUMCSAG